rnacentral:rRNA from 1 species
CAUAGGUUAAUGAGGCGAACCGGGGGAACUGAAACAUCUAAGUACCCCGAGGAAAAGAAAUCAACCGAGAUUCCCCCAGUAGCGGCGAGCGAACGGGGAGGAGCCCAGAGCCUGAAUCAGUGUGUGUGUUAGUGGAAGCGUCUGGAAAGGCGCGCGAUACAGGGUGACAGCCCCGUACACAAAAAUGCACAUAUUGUGAGCUCGAUGAGUAGGGCGGGACACGUGGUAUCCUGUCUGAAUAUGGGGGGACCAUCCUCCAAGGCUAAAUACUCCUGACUGACCGAUAGUGAACCAGUACCGUGAGGGAAAGGCGAAAAGAACCCCGGCGAGGGGAGUGAAAAAGAACCUGAAACCGUGUACGUACAAGCAGUGGGAGCCUCUUAAUGGGGUGACUGCGUACCUUUUGUAUAAUGGGUCAGCGACUUAUAUUCUGUAGCAAGGUUAACCGAAUAGGGGAGCCGAAGGGAAACCGAGUCUUAACUGGGCGUUAAGUUGCAGGGUAUAGACCCGAAACCCGGUGAUCUAGCCAUGGGCAGGUUGAAGGUUGGGUAACACUAACUGGAGGACCGAACCGACUAAUGUUGAAAAAUUAGCGGAUGACUUGUGGCUGGGGG